UAAGUCCCGCAACGAGCGCAACCCCUGCAUUCAGUUGCCAUCGGGUAAUGCCGGGCACUCUGGAAGGACUGCCAUCGACAAGAUGGAGGAAGGUGGGGAUGACGUCAAGUCAUCAUGGCCCUUAUGUCCAGGGCGACACACGUGCUACAAUGGCCGGCACAACGGGAAGCGAGUUCGCGAGGACGAGCGGAUCCCUCAAAGCCGGUCGCAGUUCGGAUUGAAGUCUGCAACUCGACUUCAUGAAGCUGGAAUCGCUAGUAAUCGUGGAUCAGCCAAGCCGCGGUGAAUACGUUCCCGGGCCUU
rnacentral:rRNA from 1 species